AAUAGAUACCCGGGUAGUCCACGCCGUAAACGAUGAGUGCUAAGUGUUAGAGGGUUUCCGCCCUUUAGUGCUGCAGCUAACGCAUUAAGCACUCCGCCUGGGGAGUACGGUCGCAAGACUGAAACUCAAAGGAAUUGACGGGGGCCCGCACAAGCGGUGGAGCAUGUGGUUUAAUUCGAAGCAACGCGAAGAACCUUACCAGGUCUUGACAUCCUCUGACAACUCUAGAGAUAGAGCGUUCCCCUUCGGGGGACAGAGUGACAGGUGGUGCAUGGUUGUCGUCAGCUCGUGUCGUGAGAUGUUGGGUUAAGUCCCGCAACGAGCGCAACCCUUGAUCUUAGUUGCCAGCAUUUAGUUGGGCACUCUAAGGUGACUGCCGGUGACAAACCGGAGGAAGGUGGGGAUGACGUCAAAUCAUCAUGCCCCUUAUGACCUGGGCUACACACGUGCUAUAAUGGAUGGUACAAAGGGCUGCAAGACCGCGAGGUCAAGCCAAUCCCAUAAAACCCAUUCUCAGUUCGGAUUGU
rnacentral:rRNA from 1 species